rnacentral:piRNA from 1 species
UCNCCAGCAGCCCUGGCUGGGUGUCCACCU